GUCGCCAGUCGGAGGGCCGAUCGACGCGUCGCUCUUCGGUGGUCCCACCAACGCCUGCUCCUCGAGUGUUCCAUUUUGGAACAGCAUUGGAACAGCAUUUUGUGUUUUUUUAAUUUAUUUGGUGUUGUCUCAGUUUUAUCUACACGGUAUUUUCCAUCUGUUAUGAAACUGGGGCAGUGUUGUUUGUUGUGCUUACAACCGGUUAUUGGUCAGGUGCGAUGACAUCAGCAGCCAGAUUCAUCAAACAACAAUGUGGGGGUGGCACACACCAGUUGUUCUCUGAAUGACCCCCGACGGAGUGAGCUGUUGUGUUUCUUGCUGUUUUAUCUCAGGCGGCACGGUACAGACCUCUACUGGUUUACUUCUCAGUUCUAAUCAUUUUGAGGAUCUAUUGUCAUUGUACAAGGGAAUGUGCAAUAACAAAGCUCUAGGUGUGGAUGGGUGAAGAGAAAACGGGACCCGGGACUGAGAACGCAGACACUACUCAAACUUUCUACUCAACACUCAACCUGGAGGCCACAUGACGGGAGACGACAGCGCCUGUGUUGAAAUGAACCAAUCAAUCAAUUCGUGGAUGAAACUCAAGAAACUGGAGAGGAAGUCUGCGUCGUCUCUUUUGUGUGUUUGAUCUAUUCACACGUCGCUUUCUCUUCUUUGGGGGAGUUUUUGUCACAUUUAGUCUCUUUGUGUUAUGAACAAUUUCCAUCUUUGCCGACAUUCAUUUUCUCUUCGUGGUCGUUCUGUGUCUCUGAGGUAGUAUCUCGUAUCUUUGCAGUUCGUCUCAACUAAAGAACUUUUGGAUUUGUUUCUGUCGGUUGGACAAAAAAACACACAAAAAAACCCCAGUAACAUAUUUAGACUUUUUCUGUAUUUUUCUACAAUUCUAUUUACAAUUUCACCAAUUCAUAGAAAAAAGGAAUUUGUGGUGAAUCAAAGUCGAAAUAGCUCGUUAAAAAAUAAUAAGCUCAGAUUGAUUCAAAAUUAAGAUUCUGCUCAGACAUUCUCGGCCGUCAGAGGAUGAACCCCUCCGGACGUUAGUGACCCGCCCCGGACUUUUUCCUCUUGCGCCACCGUGAGGUUGUUUUUUUUGUUGAUUGUGCUUUGUGUUGGUGAGUGCACGUGUAAAGGCUGACACCUACUGGCCGAGUCGAGGCGUUGCAUCUGUAUCUGUUUAAAACCCCACGGAACUGUAUCAUGUGAAUAAAAGCUGUUGCUGGGAAACAGUCAA